AGUGAACGCUGGCGGCAGGCCUAAUACAUGCAAGUCGAACGGCAGCACAGCAGAGCUUGCUCUGUGGGUGGCGAGUGGCGGACGGGUGAGGAAUACAUGGGAAUCUGCCCAGUCGUGGGGGAUAACGUAGGGAAACUUACGCUAAUACCGCAUGCGCCCUUCGGGGGAAAGCCGGGGACCUUCGGGCCUGGCGCGAUUGGAUGAGCCCAUGUCGGAUUAGCUAGUUGGCGGGGUAAUGGCCCACCAAGGCGACGAUCCGUAGCUGGUCUGAGAGGAUGAUCAGCCACACUGGAACUGAGACACGGUCCAGACUCCUACGGGAGGCAGCAGUAGGGGAAUAUUGGACAAUGGGCGCAAGCCUGAUCCAGCCAUGCCGCGUGAGUGAAGAAGGGCCCUCCGGGUUGUAAAGCUCUUUUGUCCGGAAAGGAAAAGCGCCGGGUUAAUACCCUGGUGUCCUGACGGUACCGGAAGAAUAAGCACCGGCUAACUCGUGCCAGCAGCCG
rnacentral:rRNA from 1 species